GAAGCCUUGCACUUGUGAGUUUAUAAUGAGGACUGAUAAACCCAGAGAAUUGAACGCUUAAGCAAAAAAUGAUGGUAUGACACUGAAAUGCCAUACUGAAGUUCAACACAGCCUUUAGGUUGAUGCUGUCAGUUGUCAUUUCUCAUCAGGACAUAAAUGUGUGUUCAAGUGUCAAUGAUCGCUGUUAUACCUCCAAGGCUAUUGGUUCCAAAACUGGCCAAACUGAGAAAGACUUCAAGACCACCCAAUCAAUUCUGCAGGCUUGUUCAACUCUUUGUCAGAGCUCCCUGUCAGUUUGCUCCGCCAUCUUGGCUUUCAACAGAUGCAUUGCACCAGGUGUCUCCGCCAUGUUGGUUCUACGGGGGUACGUGAGACCAAUGUUCUUCACCAUCAGGACUCUCACUGGAUACUUUGAAGAGGCACUUGCCUUCAGUUGGGACUUGAUUCAUUGCUUCAAGGAAGUGCUCUUCUCUCAGCAGUUCCUCCUAAAGAAAACACUCCUGUUUCUGUCCCAGUUGGCUCUUUGCAUCUUUAACUGACCACUUUGUCUUGAAUUAAUAUCGUUUUAAUGACUUUUCCUCCAGUAAAGUAACUUGAGUAAUGCUUUUCUUAUAACAUCCUGAAGGAACUGUGCAUCCUAGGACAAUUGCUUCAACUUCCCUUCAAGUGUUUAUUGUAUUUUCAACUGGCAUUAACUAUUAAAAUGUUUCCUUAAUUUUUAGUUGAAUCAUUGUCCAACUGCAUAUUUGGAAAUCUUGGCAAGUUACAGUAUCUGCCAUAAUGGCAAUUUUAUGGAUGAGAUAGGGACAUUGAUCCAUAAGCAUAAUUGAGCACUUAAUCCUACUGUACACUGUCAAAGCCCACUUUAAAAAGACAGUGAAAGUAAAGUACUAGACACUAUUGUAACCGUCAUAAUAAAUAGUGCCCCACAAGUUUCCAACAGAUGUUUCAGGGGCUGAGUGUUAGUGCAGUGGCCUUGUCCAUACUUCGAGUCUGAGCCUGUCAAAGGCCUGCAUUUUUCUGAGUUACUAAAGCACCUCCAGUGUAAAACAUGGUCUUUGCUAGGA